rnacentral:rRNA from 1 species
GGACUUGGCGGCUCGUUAACUACCUAGGGGAAUAUGUGCCUUAAUUCGAUGAUGCCCGUUGAAUCUUACUUUACCUUGAAAAAGAACAGUUGGUGUAUUGCCGUUGUCAGCUUGUUGUUUAAGCAAAGAAAAACAGGCUUAAUGGAACUUCUAGAGGUUGGAAGGGUCCGAGAAUUCAGGUCAAAAUGCUGCUUAUGGUACAAGGGAGUGGGUGUUACAAUUUUGACUUUUAAUACGGAUCCUAGUUGUGAAAUCUUUAGGUGAAGGUGAACUUAGGAGUAAGAAGAGAUUAAUAUGCUUUUCUGAACAUGAAUCUAACUUGUGUACAAACUGCCCGUCGCUCUCGCCGGAAGGGGAGAUAAGUCGUAACAAGCGUAGGGGUA